UUUUCCAUUGCACCUCCGACCAGUACGUUGUUUGCAAACAUAAAGGACGUGAAUUUGAACUUGAUUUUAUUGGCUAAUCAACUAAGUGUUGAAGGUUAUAGUUAAUGUGAUUUUAUUCACAGUCAUUUAGUGAUUCAGCGAUUCUAUUCAUCAAGGUAAACACUGUUACUUAGUGACAAUAUUGAAGAAAAUACGAAUUAUGUGGAGCAUACUUUAGGUAUAUAUUAAAACAAUUGGGUGUUUAAUAGUCAUCGGUGUAGACCUUACUAAGGUGUUUUCGAAAUCGAGGAAUGCUUCCAGAAGAAUCUCCGGAGGAUUUGCCAGCCGCAACUGAGAAUGGGGAAUAUGUUAUACCAGAAUUGGAGUUUAAAAUUCCUUCUGCUCAUAUUACUUUAAGCCCCAAGAAACACGUGACGUACACAAUAACAAUUGUGAAAGAAGGAUCAUCGCCAGACAGCCACCCGAGUGUUAUAGAGCGGCGUUACACAGAGUUUCUGGAGCUGUACACAGGCCUUCAUCAGGAGUUUCCCACCAUCAUGGCAAACUACAACUUCCCAAAGAAAGUAGUAUUGGGAAACUUCAAAAACGAGACUAUUGAUAUGAGGAAGUGUGGUUUCGAGGUUCUUCUGUCAGUUGUGGCUCAGAACGAAAAAAUCCGGGAAUCCAGUUCUGUGAUCAAUUUCUUUCUUGGGAAGGAGCAAAGUGAAGCUCUCAAACUUAUCAGUGAAAAAAAUUACAGUGCGGCAAUAGCACCGCUGGAGAUGAUUUUCCGACUGCUGAACAAAUUGUUCACCAACAGACAUCCGCUGGUGCUGCGUGCGCUGUGUCUGCUGGUGGCAUGUUGUGACGCGGCGGGUGUUGUCUGGACACAGAAGUACGCUGAGACAGCAGUGACGCGGUACGAGGCAGUGAGUGACGCCGACUCGCUGCGUUACUACGUGCCACUACUGCAGCUCUGUGUGCGACUGCUGCCCGGCGCAGAAGCUCUGCAGGAACGGCUCAGCUCUAUGAAGAGAAGAGGGAUGAAGGUGGUGGGGUGUCCUCCGCUGCUGGACGCCGUCUUGGCCGACUUUCCCUCCACUUCAGGGCAGACAUAACUGUAAACUAGUAAGUGGAUUUUAGCUUAAGCCUACACUCAAAAGCCACUUUGAAGGCUCUCUGUAAAAGACGCUCUUGGACCAAAUUAGCUUAUUAUGUUUUAAAAGAACGUGAGGUUGAGCACCCAAGGAAUUGCUGUCAAUGCCUAAUAUAUAUUUUUAUACCUUUGCUUAUCUUUAUCCAUGCAUACUAAAACCACACACUGAUUGAAAGUAAUGUUGGCUAAUACAAAAUAAUGUGUGUUUGUAAACAAAGUAUCUAUCAUGUUUUCAAUCAGGUGAAAUAUUUAAGUACUAUUUAAUAGUAAUGUAUUUUGGGUACCAUACUAUCCAUUCUACCAAAUUGUUUCUUCCUUCUGUUUUUAUAGAUUCGAUCAGUUUCUGUUCGGCUAUGUAAUUUCAAGAACAGGCCAGAUUUUGAUCCUUCUUAAUAAAACCGUUUUAAUGUUUGUCGUGCUUUACAUUUUAAAGCUAGUCUAAAGAAUCUCAAGUCAAAUCGUCUGAGAUAACGAAACAUUGCGUUCACAUUGAGUGUAUUUUUAUUAUAGGGCAAUGGAAUUGAGUUGGUUUUAGUGUUCAUAUCGUAUGUUGAAGAUGCUGCUGUGAGUAAGACUGUGUUGUCCCUCUACCGAUUGCGGUCCGCCAAGUUGCAUUGUGGUCAAACCACCCAGAUGCAUUGUGGUCAAACCACCCAGAUGCAUUGUGGUCAAACCACCCAGAUGCAUUGUGGUCAAACCACCCAGAUGCAUUGUGGUCAAACCACCCAGAUGCAUUGUGGUCAAAUCACCCAGAUGCAUUGUGGUCAAACCACCCAGAUGCAUUGUGAUCAAACCACCCAGAUGCAUUGUGGUCAAACCACCCAGAUGCAUUGUGAUCAAACCACCCAGAUGCAUUCAAUGAUUGCCUGUUCGAUUCAUGGAUAAAGUGUUAAACACAACAAAUCCAUGUAAUGAUAUUUGUUUUUCUAGUAAUUUAGAUUUAAAUGUGUAUGGAGAAUUUGGUUUGAAACUGAUGAGGAAGAGGUGUAUUUUGUGACAGUGGCAGAGAGAGGUACUACAGAAGUAGAGUGGCACAAUACCUUGUGUUUGGACAGACUCUAAUACAAUACACACCACUUGUAUUUAACAUAAUAGAGAGUGUUGAAAAAUAAACAUGAACACAUGUUUUUGGUCCAGGAGUGUUAUAUUGCCACUAUUUCUAAUAAGUUUUAAAUGCUUUCUUAGCAUACCUGCUCUAACCAUGUUUUUAAUAAGUUGAUUAUAUUUUAAAAUAUUAACCAAUUACAUCGUUAUGUUUACAUAAUGUCAAUUCUUCUAAUAUGAGUCAGUGCAAACUAGAUUACCAAAUUAAUGUCAAAUUGCAUUUAAUAUUAUCACUCAAAAUUGGAAAAAUUGAUUUCUGGGUUUGAAAAACUUAUAAAAUAUAUAUGUAAUAAACAAAUAAAUAAAUAUAUAAAUAUAUAUAUAUAUAUAAAUAUAUAUAUAUAUAUAUAUAUAUAUAUAUAUAUAUAUAUAUAUAUAUAUAUAUAUAUGAUAGUAAUAAUAACUUUAAAAUGUAACUGUCGAACCUCAUUAUGAAGAUAGAGUGAAAAGUGGAUGAUUCAAGAUAGUGGAUCAUUCAAACUUAUCUUCUGGUCCUUGACAUUUGUUAUAUACUGUUCAAAUAGGGUGGGUAAUUAAAGUUUUGUUUGGAUAGUUUAAAAUUUUCAUGUUUAUUUUACAUUUUGUCUGAGCUAGAAUUCCUAUCAGUUGGCAAGGUAACAGUAUAAUGUACAGUAAAACGUCUUACUGUAGUCACACUAUGUUUACAAGAUAUGGCUCCAACCUGCCACUCGAACCGCUGUGCCUUCUUGAUUCUCACGAAGUUAGCACUAUGAGCGAUCAGAGUACGUUGCCACGCCACAGUCCGGGUCUGUACUCAAUAUUUAACUGUAUUACGAGGUUACUGUAGUCACACUAUGUUUACAAGAUAUGGCUCCAACCUGCCACUCGAACCACUGUGCCUUCUUGAUUCUCACGAAGUUAGCACUAUGAGCGAUCAGAGUACGUUGCCUCGCCACAGUCCGGGUCUGUACUCAAUAUUUAACUGUAUUACGAGGUUACUGUAGUCACACUAUGUUUACAAGAUAUGGCUCCAACCUGCCACUCGAACCACUGUGCCUUCUUGAUUCUCACGAAGUUAGCACUAUGAGCGAUCAGAGUACGUUGCCACGCCACAGUCCGGGUCUGUACUCAAUAUUUAACUGUAUUACGAGGUUACUGUAGUCACACUAUGUUUACAAGAUAUGGCUCCAACCUGCCACUCGAACCGCUGUGCCUUCUUGAUUCUCACGAAGUUAGCACUAUGAGCGAUCAGAGUACGUUGCCUCGCCACAGUCCGGGUCUGUACUCAAUAUUUAACUGUAUUACGAGGUAGGAGUCUCCCACCUUCGCUAGAGGUUCAUUCUGAUAGUUACACUACACAUAAUGUGUUACUGACAGAGUGAUUGUACUCAGUUUGUUUACAACAAUCCCGUGGAGUGACUAUCAAAAUUCAAGUCUAUAGGUCUGUUCGUUUAUGAUGUAUUGUAGGGGUAGAUGGCCAAACAGAAAUACAAUUUUUCGUGUCCUUGAAUGAUAAACUUUUCUAAUGCUCAGCUUAUGAGGGAUGGAUUGGGAUUGAAGCUCAGGAAGUUAACUAAUUUUUUUGACACAUUUUUUCUCAACAAACGAUGAAAUGUUUUUUCUUAAGGAAGAACCAAAAGCAAUCCAAGACAUGUAGUACAAAAACAUAAUGAUCAAUGAAUAUUUACACACAAUUAAAAAUCAGCAAACUACAUUUGUGACAGCAAAUUUCAAAUCAAUUGGUACAUGCAGAGUAUUAAAAUACCUUCAGAUCUAAUAAAAACAACAAUAAUAAUAAUCUUUUGUGCUAUAAAAAUGUACAAUAUUAUUGAAAAAGUCAUGGUAUACAGCAGUUCAUCCACAAAUUGUUAAUAAUUAUUAACAAUCCAUAUUUCUGGAGUUGAAUGAUUUAUUAAAGUUGUAAAAUGAAUUCUCCAACAACCAGAGAUGGAACUUAUUUUUAAAAAUAUCAAAGGGAUAUGAGAAAAUCUUUUUCUUCAAAAAGUUAUAAAUUUUUAAAGACUUAUCACUUAUCAGGAUUUUACUUAAAUAAAAGAGUCAAAUUUCAACAUUGUUUCGAUUAUGAGUGUUGCGUUCAUGAAUUUGACGUUUAAUAUUAAGGAAAUUGGAUUGUAGUGUAUGGAAGUCACACACACAAACACACACACAUACAAUUUUUUAACAGUUUAGAAAUGAAAACAUUUGAUGUGAGAUUUACAAUGCUUUCUGAAGUCAAAAUUUUUAAAACCCCUGAUUACCUUCUUUGUAAUACUAAUAUUUUUGUAAUUCUGGUACAGUUACCAUAUAAAACUAACCCAUGUUGAAAAAGGCAAAAUAUGCGGCUCUUAUGUAAUUUAGCAGUGCAAUAUCGUUUAGUCUACUCAAAAGAUAAAUAACUCGAGAAAGUCUUUUAUUUAGACAAUGAAUAUGUGUUGUGUUGCCCAUCAAGAUUUUAUCAAGAUUGAUACCCAAAAAUUUAACUGUGUUUGAAAAGCCUAUAAACAAAAAUGAUGCCUAAUAGUAAAUAAAGUUUUUUGUCCUUAUUUAACAUUUGCAUAAAACCAAUUUAAUGUGUUUUCUAAUGUAUCAUUUGCUAAUAGUUCCAGAUCAUGAAUACUUUGUCUGAAAUUAAAAAGUGUACUAUCAUCUGCAUAUAUGCUAUAUAUAAUAUGCUUUUUGAGUUAUGGUAAAUCAUUUAUAUAAACUAAAAAGAGUAGAGGUCUGGGACAGAUCGCGGAACUUCUUCCAACCAUUUACCAUUACAUAAACCAAGUGCUUGCAAUUAUCUAGAUAUGAUUAUAUAAACUAUAUAUAUAUAUUAUAUAUCAGAGGACAAACCUGUGUGAUCUGAUGGAAAGAAAUCAACUAGAUCGCAAAUGUGUUGUGACAAUUAUAGUCUGUUACUAUCGUGGCUCCCAUACUAAACACAGUGACCUGGGGUACUCAUGCUCUGACUGAACCGUUGGUAAAUAACAAAAUGAUUUAUGAAAACAAUUUAAGGUGUAAAUUUACAAUUAAGAUUUUGAAAUUAAUUCAUGUUUAAAUAUUGCUAAUUUUGUAAAAUGGUCAAAUAAAAAUAAAAAAGCUAACAUUUAGAUCUUUUAUGAGGAUUGUAAUUUAAUUUUAAUUAGUUGUUAUGACAAGUUAAUUAUAAUUAGUUAAUUAUUUAUGAAGAUAAUUUAAGCCAUAAAUCGUUAUUCUAGGUUUUGAAAUAUAUUCGAAUCUAAUCAAAUCUUGUUGGAUGAUAUUUUUGUUGUGUUAGAUGACAGCUAUAAUUAUAUAUUAGAUUAUUUAAGAUGACUAAUACACUUAUAUAAUAUCAGAUUAAGUUUUAAAAGGUUUGUUUAACAAGUUUAAAUCUAGAUUAAUACCCAUAGUUACUUUUUAAUCAAACUAAAACUAACAGAAGAAGGAUUGCAGAGCGGAUUGUAAUUAUUGAUAGCUUUAUGAAGGUAAUAGAAAAUCUGUACACUUUUGUGAGAUUCUACUUAACUUUGUCAUAUUAACUACGAAUUUGUAAUCUACAUAAACUCAUGUACCAGAUGUACAUGUUGCUUUAUGAAGGAUUUCAAAAUUUACCUUAAAAUAAUAACAGGCAGACUAAUAUUAUCAAGUUAAAUUAAUUUAUGGUGAAAUGAAGGUUAGUGAUGCAACAUAAUUAUUCCGUUAUAUUUGUAGUGUUUGUUUGUUUUAAUAUUGAUUGUAAUCAAUAUAUCUAAUUGAUUAUAAUUAAGGGUAUAUUUUUGCUUUCAUCAAUGAAAUGAGUGGAGUAUCAGUGUUUAUUUUAUUUAUUUAUUAUUAUUUAUUUAUAAAAGUUAUAUUUAUAAAACAAUCAGCUUUAUAUUAUUUAUUUUUGGUUGUGAAGAAGGUGUGAUUCACUUUAUAUAUUGUUAAGUUUUUGUUAUUAAGUAAUAUGUUUGUUAUAUUGUGAUAUAUACUGAAUUCAAAAAUCUCUGGUUAUAAUGAAGAGAUUAAAUAUAUUGUUUUAGGUUUAAUAUGUAUUAUUGUGUUCAUAGUGAAAGAGACGACAAAUCACACUAGACUAAGUUAAGUAAUACUGUUGAAAAACAAAAAAGUUAUUUGAACUGUGGGACAUAAGAUUUGUGUCAUUUAAAUGUAUUGCAAGAGGAAUAAUGGGUUUUAAAUUUCUGAAGAAAUAGAGCAUCAUUUUAAUACUGAAAUAAAAGAUAUCUCAUAUACUAACAAAAAAUUGGUAUUUGUUAAUACUAAUACUCAAAAAGACUAAUUACAGCCAUAAUUAGUAUUUGUCAUUAAUUACGGAUAAUUUGGUAACUGCGAUACUACUACGGUAGAAGAAUUUAACGAUUCUUACAAUUUAUUGAUUGUAAUUGUUAUUGAUUAGUUUAGAGUUGGAAGUAUAUUUUUCAGUUUACUUGCAAAUUUAAAUGUGUUUUUUGGAAUGUUUAAAUUAGAUAUAUUAAUAUAAAAAUAUAUAUUUGUUAAUUUUUAGAGAAUUAAAUAUGAACAAUGGAAUAGUUGUACAAAUUUAUUGUGUAAUGUGUUUUUAUACUAACAAAAUUAAAAGUUAUUUCAGUUUGAAUUUAAUUGCUUGAUGUUGUAUUUUAAAGCGUAAGUUUUUGUUUGGCAGUCUUACCCUGUAAUAGAAAAAAAUAAAAAGUGCUAAAUUUACAUAGUUGUUCCCUCAAGAAUAAAUUAAAUAAAAAUAAAAAUUGAAUAUUAAAAGAUAUUAAAUCACACAUUAAAUGAUACAAUGAUCACAAUAUGUUCUGAAAUGUUUUAUGAACUUUACUGAAAUAAUUUGUACUUCAGCCAGUUUUUAAAUUCUUCAACAAUAUAUUGUACAUUUGACUCCUGCUUGUGUUCACUUCUAUUUAUUGUUAUUUAUUGAUUAUAUUUUACACUGUUAAUAUACUCAUUAUAAUACAUUUUAUAACAAAAUGUCUUGUUAUGCUUUUUGAUUACUCUAUUUUGUCAUAAUUGUAAUUAAAUGUAAUUAUUGGUAAUUUAUCAUUAUAAUAUUGUUAAGUUUGUUAUUAAUCAAGUUGUAUGAAAUAUAAAGUGUUACAAGUUAAAGCAAAAUUUUAGUCCAUAAGUGGCAAUUUCUGCAAUCUGCAGACAGAGUGAGUAUAUAUUGCUAUAUACCUUACAAUAUAUUGAGAAUUAAUUGUUUGGGAAAUUUAUCAAGUUUUCCGGAACUUGUAAAAAAACCUGUUAAAUCUAUACAGUAUUAUUUAAUAAUUAUUUUAAGUGACUAAGAAAUAGUUAUAUUUAUUUUAAUACUAUGUGACUGAUACUUGUAAUAUAAUAAUAAAUAUAAUAAAAUUUAACCAAACAACUGUUCAAUUCCAACCUGUCGUGAUUGUACAGAAUUAAAUGACAAUUUUUCUAAGUUUCUUGGUUGUAUUCAAAAUAUUGUACAAAUUUAGUUUAUUUUUUGAAUGAAUAAGGUAAUAAAACCAACUUUGCCAUGCAUAAAUACAAUAAUCUCUAAUGUGUUUGUCAAAUGCUGUUUUUCCAGUAAUAAUUGGAAAAUUCAAUGAAUGUAAAAUAUAUCUUUUGAUUAUGGCAAAACAACAGUCAUAACUACUUUGUUCUGCUCUCAUAGUAAUUAUUGUUAUUUAGUAUCACUUAGAAAUGUUGAUUGCUCAUUUUACCAAAACUUUAGUACAGAAAAUCAUUGUUACAUAAAAUAUAAUUGGUGUAUUUUAUUUGUGACUCGUAUAUUUUCUUUAUUAAUACAGUUACUGAUUGAUGUUAACAUGAUUAGCUUAAUCAAAUAUAAUUUUAGUUCACAGAUUCAAUUAUAAAAAAGCCUAAGAAUAUAAUUUGUAUCAAGUACCAAGAACAGUUUCAACAUCACAACAGCAAUAAAUCUAAAAGUUAAGAUUUAAAAAUAAAUAAAAUAACUAAUAAAUAUAAAAAAUGUAUAAAAUCAAUAACACAAACUAAUGGGUUAUAAUUCAAUUGAUUACAUUCAUUUAAAUUUGUGUACAAAAUGAACACUGUUUUAAUAGCCAUAUUUACAAUGUUCACCUCUUUUUAAUUACUCCAGAGGAUGGAAUAAAGCAGUGAUUACAACAAUUCACCUUUACAAAAUUGUUCUAUCUAAAUAAUGCUUGAAUAAAUAAGAACAGGUGGUGAUAACGAAGGCGAUGGUAUUGUCUUAUUUUAUUGAUGAAUUGAAAUACAUUAAAUUUUAUUCUAUCCAAAAAAUUAUUUAACACAAAAAAAUAAUGUAAUACAGUGUGUGAACAAAGUUAUGUCUCACUUUGAAAUAACUAUUUACAAAAGUAUAUACAGCACAAGAAUGAGGUUAACAUAGGAUUAAAGAAUACUGUAAACAGGUUUAUGUCAGUUUAUCUGACCCUGCAGACCUCCAAGCGAGCUUUCAUCUUCUCUCAUAUUUUGAUCAGGACUUCUGGGCUAACUGAUUCAAUUGCAGCUCUCAUUCGUUGCUUUAAGUGUUCAAUAAACGAGCAUUAUGACGAUGCACAUUUCCAGACAAGUGAAAGGUAACAUCAACACAAAAAACAAUUCCGUUUAUAAAAUCUUGAUCCAGUCAAUUUUCAUACAGAAUAAGAACGGCAAUGUCAUACCUCUUUAAUUUGUUAUCUGGUAUCAAAGCAUGCACUAUUUGAGGUUAUUUAAGUUAAAUUUAAGUCGUUUCUUCAAAACUGAAUGAAUUGUAUACUUAGGGACAUUCAACUCAUGUCCAUGUUGGACUUCACACUUGUACUUCUUGUACUUCUUACAAAAAGUGUUUGAAUUUUUUUUACGGUUUGAUCUCCUGUUUAUAGCCUACCUGUCUUUAUGUUGUCGAAAAAAAUGUCUGUUUCCUUGAACGUCUUAUCCCAUUAAUAAAUUCUACAUCUCUGAGGGAUUUUCAUGAAACACUCUGUGAUACUAACACUGAACUGAAAUCACAGCAUAAAACUUUGCUAGCCACAAAAUAUACUGAACUUUUCAUUACAAAGUUGCCAUUACGGCUGUCUUUGUAAAAACGUUACCCACAGUUAUCCACAGAUGAGAACAGUGGGUAACUCGGCUAGUAAAACAAAACUUUAUAAACCAAUGUUUUAAUUUAUAUCUGUUUCAUAGACCUGCGAUCAAUAAUAGAGUAGCUAUAAUCAAUUAAAAGUGUGACAUGACUUUGUGGACACACUGUAAUGUAUAUAGGAUCCAUCAUUGUACUCAAUGACAAGAUUAUAAUCGUGUAACUUAUUGUAAUUUUGUAAUUUUGAAUUUGUUUUGUUUCAUAGCAUAAUCAAGUGUUAAACUCUGCUUGUUUUAUUCCCUUAGAAACUAUUCUCAAGGUCUCUUGGAAUUUCCCUAUCCCUAGCCGUAUUAUGCAUGCAUAAGGUUGGCUGAUAUUUUGUAUAUUAGAAAGUGUCAAUUAGACUACAUUUAAUAUAUUUUAAUAAUGCAAAGAUUUAACAAUAAACUGAAAACUAUUUAUAUUUGCACUUCAUGAUAUAAAUAUAAUAUAUACCUUGCUAAUAUUUAUAUACUCAAAAUUUUAUAAAGUUGGAAUAAUGUUCAUGUGUAGAAACAUGUGAAGCAUAAUAAAAACACUCAUAAAGGAA
rnacentral:misc_RNA from 1 species